rnacentral:rRNA from 1 species
CACGUAGGGGGCGAGCGUUGUCCGGAUUUAUUGGGCGUAAAGAGCUCGUAGGCGGCUCGGUAAGUCAGGUGUGAAACCUCCAGGCUCAACCUGGAGACGCCACCUGAUACUGCCGUGGCUAGAGUCCGGUAGAGGAGCGUAGAAUUCCUGGUGUAGCGGUGAAAUGCGCAGAUAUCAGGAGGAAUACCAGCGGCGAAGGCGGCUCUCUGGGACGGUACUGACGCUGAGACGCGAAAGCGUGGGGAGCGAACAGG